rnacentral:rRNA from 1 species
UACGUAGGGGGCCAGCGUUGCUCGGAAUUACUGGGCGUAAAGGGUUCGUAGGUGGUGCGGCAAGUUGGGAGUGAAAUCUCUGGGCUUAACCCAGAGGCUGCUUUCAAAACUGCCGUGCUCGAGUGCGAGAGGGGUCAGUGGAAUUGCAGGUGUAGCGGUGAAAUGCGUAGAUAUCUGCAGGAACACCCGUGGCGAAGGCGGCUGACUGGAUCGCAACUGACACUGAGGAACGAAAGCUAGGGGAGCAAACAGG